rnacentral:lncRNA from 1 species
CAAGGUUCUCUGAUUUACUUGGACCUCAGCUUUUUGCCUUGUGCAUUCAGUUGUCUCUGGUAUUUACAGUCUAGUAAAUGACUUUAGUUUAUCAAUGUAAGAUUUAAAAUCUUGUGACAGUCAAAUUCAAGGUCUUGUGAUCAGGCGUGUUUAUCUACAGAAUCACUGUCCCAACUUGACAUUGAAUCAAUUUUUAUGGCCUCCCUUAGUUUGUCCUCUUCUGACACUGGCAGUUUCUGGGCUUAAAGGGCCUUAGCUCUGUUUCGUAGCUUC